CGUGCGCAAAAUGUGCUCGAAAGACACUGC
rnacentral:sRNA from 1 species